UCCGAUUUGUCACCGGCAGUCUCCCAUGAGUCCCCGACAUUACUCGCUGGCAACAUGGGACAGGGGUCGCGCUCGUUGCGGGACUUAACCCAACAUCUCACGACACGAGCUGACGACAGCCAUGCACCACCUGUGAUGGUGUCCCGAAGGAAAGGUGUGUUUCCACACCGGUCACCAACAUGUCAAGCCCAGGUAAGGUUCUUCGCGUUGCGUCGAAUUAAACCACACGCUCCGCUGCUUGCGCGGGCCCCCGUCAAUUCCUUUGAGUUUUAGCCUUGCGGCCGUAGUCCCCAGGCGGGGUGCUUAAUGCGUUAGCUUCGGCACGGACGGAGUUGACACCGCCCACACCUAGCGCCCAUCGUUUACGGCGUGGACUAC
rnacentral:misc_RNA from 1 species